GACGAACGCUGGCGGCGUGCCUAAUACAUGCAAGUUGAGCGCUGAAGGUUGGUACUUGUACCAACUGGAUGAGCAGCGAACGGGUGAGUAACGCGUGGGGAAUCUGCCUUUGAGCGGGGGACAACAUUUGGAAACGAAUGCUAAUACCGCAUAAAAACUUUAAACACAAGUUUUAAGUUUGAAAGAUGCAAUUGCAUCACUCAAAGAUGAUCCCGCGUUGUAUUAGCUAGUUGGUGAGGUAAAGGCUCACCAAGGCGAUGAGACAUAGCCGACCUGAGAGGGUGAUCCGCCACAUUGGGACUGAGAAACGGGCCAAACCCCCACGGGGGGCAGCAGGAGGGAAACUUCGGCAAUGGACGAAAGUCUGACCGAGCAACGCCGCGUGAGGGAAGAAGGUUUUCGGAUCGUAAAACUCGGUUGGUAGAGAAGAACGUUGGUGAGAGUGGAAAGCUCAUCAAGUGACGGUAACUACCCAGAAAGGGACGGCUAACUACGUG
rnacentral:rRNA from 1 species